rnacentral:lncRNA from 1 species
UAUUACCAUAUGAGUUACAUUGCUGAAUAAAGAAAGAGGGUGAAUUUGUAGUAUACUGCAGCUAAAGGACUACUUUCAGGUUUCUGAAGGAUGGAGGAAAAUGUUUGUUUUCUGCUAUGCAAUGCCUCAACAACCUUCCACUUCCUUUCAGUAGGUGAAUUUAGACGGAUAAAAAACUUAUGCAUUUCCUAUUUGACUUUGUCAAGCAAUUGAUUCUUAUUGGUACACAUAAUACGACUAAGUUAAAUAUGUUUUCCUUUGACUAUAAUUUGCUUCUCAUGAAAAAAUAAAUGAUGCAUAUGUCUUUACUGCUACUAAAAACAGUUCCUCUGCCUUUUUGGUACUGCUCCUCUCUGUCAAUUAAAAUCCCAAUUUCAGGAAAGCUGAGCUGGCAGAGAUUAUUUUUAAAAAGGCAACUCUGAAUUUAACUAGCUCAGAAUUGCACACAAGAGAUGGAUUACUGGGAAAUGAGUUAGAAAAAUCUCUUUAAAAAAAAGGUGGCAGUAUUAAAAAAGCCAAACAAAGAUACAAACUCCACUUCUGGCACCAUCUGGCCUCAUCUAUA